UUUAUUUUAUUUUUUAUUUUUAUUUUAUGUUAUUAAAUAACACUUGCUUCAAUGGUGAAGGAAAAGUUCUCGAAAGUAUGUGAAGUCCAUCAAUUCGCAUUGGGCCAGCGUGAUAGACUGUAAUAUUCUGAGAGGAGACCUGCGCUAAGUAGUGAGCCAUUGAUAGGUUGCUGACGAUGAUGAUGGUGAUGAUGAUCUUUAUCAAAAAUCUUUUUUAAUUGUUUUAAGAAUCUUCCAAGCUUAGCGUACAUUUACCUUUUCAAUUCACUCUUGGAUGUUUCUAAAAACACAAAAUUAUCUAA
rnacentral:misc_RNA from 1 species